UACGGAGGGGGCUAGCGUUGUUCGGAAUCACUGGGCGUAAAGCGCACGUAGGCGGAUCUUUAAGUCAGGGGUGAAAUCCUGGAGCUCAACUCCAGAACUGCCUUUGAUACUGAAGAUCUUGAGUUCGGGAGAGGUGAGUGGAACUGCGAGUGUAGAGGUGAAAUUCGUAGAUAUUCGCAAGAACACCAGUGGCGAAGGCGGCUCACUGGCCCGAUACUGACGCUGAGGCACGAAAGCGUGGGGAGCAAACAGG
rnacentral:rRNA from 1 species